UUUCCGUAGGUGAACCUGCGGAAGGAUCAUUAUCGUACAAACUGUGAGGGGCGUGCGAGGGCUGUCAGUGACCCAAUAGUCGUGCAAGCCCGAGUGUGUCCUCUUGCAUAAUCCUCCAUCUCACCCUUGCUGCAGCACCCCGUGGGCAUCCUUCGGGAGCGGCUCGCGGGUGGGCUCGCGUUUUCACUGAAAUCCACCUUUUAAUAUUUGAGUAUGCCAACACUUAUGCAAUACAUACAACUUUCAACAACGGAUCUCUUGGCUCUCGCAUCGAGGACG
rnacentral:misc_RNA from 1 species